UAAUGUAUGGGGAUCUGCCCGAUAGAGGGGGAUAACUACUGUAAACGGUGGCUAAUACCGCAUAAUGUCUACGGACCAAAGCAGGGGCUCUUCGGACCUUGCACUAUCGGAUGAACCCAUAUGGGAUUAGCUAGUAGGUGGGGUAAAGGCUCACCUAGGCGACGAUCUCUAGCUGGUCUGAGAGGAUGAUCAGCCACACUGGGACUGAGACACGGCCCAG
rnacentral:rRNA from 1 species